UACGUAGGGUGCAAGCGUUAAUCGGAAUUACUGGGCGUAAAGCGUGCGCAGGCGGUUGUGCAAGACAGAUGAUGGAAAUCCCCGGGCUCAACCCUGGGAAUUGCAUUUGUGACGUGCACGGCUAGAGUGUGUCAGAGGGGGGUAGAAUUCCACGUGUAGCAGUGAAAUGCGUAGAGAUGUGGAGGAAUACCGAUGGCGAAGGCAGCCCCCUGGGAUAACGACUGACGCUCAUGCACGAAAGCGUGGGGAGCAAACAGG
rnacentral:rRNA from 1 species